GAGUGGGAAGAUCUUUAAGUAGAGGUGACAGAUCUAUCGAGCGCAGUAAUAGCUGGUUACCUGAUAAAUGAAUAGGAGUUCAGCCCUUUAAGUUUCCUGUUUCACCUUGCGUGUUGCUAGAGAAGAACAAGGAAAAUAAAGGAGUUAGUCAAAAGGGGAACAGCUCUUUUGACGAAAGAAACAACUUUAGUAGGUGCUUUAAGAUCAUAUUUCUUAAGGAAUUUAUAUAAGUGGGCCUAAAAGCAGCCAUCUUAAUAGAAAGCGUUAAAGCUCAAAUUAGACUAUAUCCAUAUAUACUGACAUUAAGUCUUCAUCCCUACUUUUAGAUCAGGUUAUCUUAUGCCCCCAUAAGAGUAAUAAUGCUAAAAUGAGUAAUAAGAAAAAUUUAAUUUUUCUCCUAACAUGUGUGUAAGUUGGAACGGACCUUCCGCCAACGAUUACCCGACCCCAAUUUGAGAGGGCUAUAAGUAUACAAUAACAAGAAAAGUACUUAAUUUAAAUCGUUAACCCUACACAGGUAUGUAAUAAGGAAAGACUAAAAGAGAGGGAAGGAACUCGGCAAACAAGAGCCUCGCCUGUUUACCAAAAACAUCGCCUCUUGUCUAACUAAUAUAAGAGGUCUCGCCUGCCCGGUGACUAUAUGUUUAACGGCCGCGGUAUUUUAACCGCGCGAAGGUAGCGUAAUCAUUUGUCUUUUAAAUGGAGACCUGUAUGAAAGGUAUCACGAGGGCUCAACUGUCUCCCUUCUCCAGUCAAUGAAAUUGACCUCCCCGUGCAGAGGCGGGGAUAUUUAUAUAAGACGAGAAGACCCUGUGGAGCUUCAAGACCUAAAAUAAGCCAUGUUCAGGAAUCUAAAGAUAUAAGUAAAAACUUAGUGGCAUUUAUUGAAGUGUCUUCGGUUGGGGUGACCCUGGGGAAAAAUUUAACCCCCAAGUAGACUGGGUACAUUGUCUCUAGAACUCAGAGCCCAUACUCCAAGUAACAGAAUAUUUGACUUUAUGAUCCGGUAUAACCGAUUAACGAAUCAAGUUACCCCAGGGAUAACAGCGCAAUCCCCUUUAAGAGCCCAUAUCGACAAGGGGGUUU
rnacentral:rRNA from 1 species